rnacentral:rRNA from 1 species
CACUCCUACGGGAGGCAGCAGUGGGGAAUUUUACGCAAUGGGGGAAACCCUGACGUAGCGACACCGCGUGAGCGAAGAAGCCCUUUGGGGUGUAAAGCUCUGUCAGCUGGAACGAAAACAAUGACGGUACCAGCAGAGGAAGCAUCGGCUAACUACGUGCCAGCAGCCGCGGUAAGACGUAGGAUGCGAGCGUUGUCCGGAUUUAUUGGGCGUAAAGAGUUCGUAGGUGGUUUGUUAAGUUUGGUGUUAAAGAUCGGGGCUCAACCCUGGGACUGCACUGAAUACUGGCAGACUCGAGUGUGGUAGAGGCUAGUGGAAUUCCCAGUGUAGCGGUGAAAUGCGUAGAUAUUGGGAAGAACACCGGUGGCGUAGGCGACUAGCUGGGCCAUAACUGACGCUGAGGAACGAAAGCCAGGGGAGCGAAUGGGAUUAGAAACCCGGGUAGUCCCAUGAU